rnacentral:rRNA from 1 species
AGUGAACGCUGGCGGUAGGCCUAACACAUGCAAGUCGAACGGCAGCACAGUAAGAGCUUGCUCUUACGGGUGGCGAGUGGCGGACGGGUGAGGAAUACAUCGGAAUCUACUUUUUCGUGGGGGAUAACGUAGGGAAACUUACGCUAAUACCGCAUACGACCUACGGGUGAAAGCAGGGGAUCUUCGGACCUUGCGCGAUUGAAUGAGCCGAUGUCGGAUUAGCUAGUUGGCGGGGUAAAGGCCCACCAAGGCGACGAUCCGUAGCUGGUCUGAGAGGAUGAUCAGCCACACUGGAACUUGGCCACGGUCCAGACUCCUACGGGAGGCAGCAGUGGGGAAUAUUGGACAAUGGGCGCAAGCAUGGCACAGCCAUCCCGCGUGGGUGAAGAAGGCCUUCGGGUUGUAAAGCCCUUUUGUUGGGAAAGAACAGCAGCAGGUUAAUACCCCGCUGUUCUGACGGUACCCAAAGAAUAAGCACCGGCUAACUUCGUG